rnacentral:misc_RNA from 1 species
AUUUCCCCAAUGGGUUCUCCGGAUUUCUGGAGACUUGUAGGGGUUGUGGGAUUUUUGAUGUGUCGUCUCCGGACGGGCGGUGCAGGGUAGUCGAGUUAGACUUGGUGGAAUUCCGUCGAUAGGAGUUCCGUCGAGUCUGGUCGGCUGUGUGUUGGACGGUGCAGGGUAGGCUGCUUGGACAUGGUCGGUUCGAGGAUCGAUUCGAGGGCCGGCCUGUCGAUGAUGUGUGAUGUAUGCGGUCUAGGGUAGGCUGGUUUGUCUUGGUUCAAUUUGAUGUCGGCUCCCGUGCAGGCCAGAGUGAGGGGGGUCCAGGGUAGGUACAGGGUAGGCAGCUUAGAUUUGGUCGAUCUGGAGGUCGAUUCUCCGGCUGGCGGAUCUGACACUGUCGAAACGAGAUGCGAGCGGUGUAGGGUAGGCUAGUUUCGCCCUCGCCGGGUUGCGAUUUGGACGAGAUAUGUGGUUUAGUGUAUGCUCUAGGGUAAGUAGAAUUCGAGUUUCGUCGCCGACAGUUUUCUGUGGGUGUAUGGUAGGUACAGGGUAGGCAAAUCUCUCUCCGGCCAGUACUUGUCUGGUGGUCGUGAGUCGAUUUUUUUGUUUU